ACGUCUAUGCAGUGGCUCUCUUCGCUCGGAACUUUGUUUUUUAUGUACUUGGCGUCGCGACGCUACCGCGUCGCUUGAUAUCGAGGUUCCAGAUAAUCGAUUGAAGUUAUGGCAGCAUUUACAAAAGGUUCGCCAAGAUUUUUGGCGACGCUGACAGAAAGAAUACCUUGUUGGAGCUACAACGCCGACAUAAGUGGAUGAGCAGAGAGGAGAAUUUAAAGCCAGGAACGUUAGUACUUUUAAAAGAAAAUAAUUUGCCUCCUUUACAAUGGGCAAUUGGGAGAAUUGUAAACGUCCAUUCAGGCGAGAAUGGUAUCGUAUGAGUUGUUAAAGUUCAGACUGCUAACGGAGAAUUCAAGCGAUCAGCAAGAGAUGUUUGUUCAUUACCUAUAGAUAACAGUAUUGAUUCAGCGAAAAUUAAUGCAUAGAGGUUAGCCAGUUCGAAUUGAAAGAGAGUCUUUCAAGGCGGGCGGGAUAUGUUUGCCGCUUAUAUUACGUUAUAACAAUUAUUUAGUUUAUAAGAAUUCAGUUUGUUUUAGGUUUACUUUUAUUUGCCACAGGAGCUCGAAUUUAAGUUGCCGUUACUAUUAGAAUAUAUAUAUCAAGCUGCGCGCGAAGUCAUUGCGCAUGUUCUUUGUUAGUUCGCAGGAAGAAAGCACAUUGUAAGUCACGCCCUGUAUGCUUGUGCCUCGAAUAAAGAGUUUCGUGUAAAACAAGGCAUUGGAUUUAAUAAUUCUCGCAUUCCGGACUGUGAUAGUCUGACACAAGGACUGUGAUAACCCGGCACAUACAACAUUUUUGUAAAGUUUUCUUUUUCUUUUUGGUUGGCGGAUUUCCUUUCUUCUCUAUUGGGUUUACAUUUUCUUUUUCACUUUGGCUCAUAUUUUCUUUGUCUAUCUGUGAUCUCUGUAAACGAAAAUAUUUUAUAUUAAAAUAUUUUAAUAACAUUUUCUGUGUGUAUUAUAGAUUCCUGAUAUACCAGAAAAAUGGAAAAAAUUGCAAAAAGGUUUGAACACCAUUGGGAUUUCCCACGUUUUCUCGGUACUUUGGAUGGGAAACAUAUCCGAGUCAAGACUCCACCUAACUCAGGAUCACUAUUCUAUAAUUACAAGAACUUUUGCAGUAUUGUAAUAUUGGCUGUAGUUAACUCGAAUUACGAAUUUAUAAUGGUAGAUGUCGGAAUGAAUGAUCGGGUAUCUGACGGGGAAAUCUUGAACAAUUCAAAAUUUGGCCAUUUACUUAAUACGAACACAUAACCUGCAUAUUCCCUUUGAAGAAGUGCCAAAUAGUGCACCAUUUGUUUUUGUAGGCGAUGACGCGUUUUCUUUGGCAUAUAAUUUGUUAAAGCCUUAUAGUCAAACAAGAUCAAUUUUAAUAACAAGUAUAGAAAUCUUUUCUUCGCCAGGGAGUUCUAAAUUUUAGAUGCAUAUUUUAAUCGCGAUACUGGCAAUAUCUGAUGGUUGGACAUAUUUUUUAUAUAUUUUAACUGCACGCCAACAAAUUGUAAGCCGUUCUGCGGCACUGGUCGAUGUCGAUCGAGAUUUAGCGAGGUAUGAUUAGAGCGCCCCUGACGACGAGAAGGUUAGAAUAAAAUAUGGCGGAAAAGAAGAAUACGUGCCUCAUUUCAUUCCUGCUAAAAUCUUAAGAAUAAAUAGGCUUACAAUAUUCAGAAGUGGGAUACGGUGGCCAGUGUGGAGAGCCGUGACGCUGUGUGCUGCGGUAAUCACCGGAAAAUUGAGUCGUAACGCUUCGUGCUGCGACAAGAAGGAAGUCGAGUCGAGACGCUUCGUGUUGUGACGGAAGAAAGUCGGGUCGUGACGCUUCGUGCUGCGACGGAAGAAAAUCGAGUCGUGACGCUUCGUGCUGCGACGGAAGAAAAUCAAGUCGUGACGCUUCGUGCUGCGACGGAAGAAAAUCAAGUCGUGACGCUUCGUGCUGCGACGAAAGAAGAUCAAGUCGUGACGCUUUGUGCUGCGACGGAAGAGGAUCAAGUCGCGACGCUUCGUGCUGUGACGUGAAGUUAAGUAGUUGCAACGAGAGCCGUAUAGGUUAGGAAAAGCCAGCGGACAAGUAAGUCAGAGUGGAAUACGAUAACUACUGAUCACAAUGGACCCGAAUGACUUAACGAGCAAAUCAAAAAUAGCUGAAGGCAGAGAGGAUUGCCGGUAAAAGACCGAACUAAUUUUGAGGAUACACGAGAGCAAUCCUACGGAUAGCUGGGUCGACGAGGCGGCCAGGCUCAGGAUGAACCCAGAGGAAGGCGAACCAGCGGUAGGCUGAGGAAAAUGCACGGAGAGAGGAAGGUAGAUUAAGGUUAGAGCAACUAGAAGUCGAGCUGAUGCGGCGUGAGCGAGAGCUAAUGGAAAGAGAGCUCGAGCUGCUCAGAAGAGAAAACACCAUGUUAAGAGCCACCGUUUCGCGUAUUAGCAUUAAAAGCAUUGGUGAGUUGUUGAGCGAAUAUAACGGUUCGGCAGCUGAUUUUGUAAGAUGGAAAGCUCAACUGAUGCUGUUGCGAAACACAUACGGACUGGAUGACAACGCCACUAGAAUCUUAUUGGGUUCUAAGUUGAAGGGGAAAGUAGGGAUGGGCGAUAUCAUAUCGAUAUUUCGAAUAUCGACAUUUCGCAGUCAAUAUUUCGUUAUUUUUUAUCGCUAUUUCAACUGUCGAUAUAUCGAGGUAUCGAUAUUUUAGUGCCAAUAUCGAAGUUCGAUAUUAAAUAUGGACGCGAAUUUGAAAUGGACGUAUUAAUUGGCUAUCAAAUAGAGAAUUUUUGGGGACCCUAAAACUUCUCUAUCUGAUAGCCAAUUAUAAUACGUUCGACUAAGCUUGUCGUACGACACAUGAAAUCUCAGCCUUAAAGGGAGAAUUGUGCGCAUUACAAAGCCGGUUGUUGGCAUACGAGUGGAAACGAUUUGUGACCCAGCAUCUCAUACAUCAGCCUACUGGCGUAUGGGCGAAUUCGUUCCCUGAGCCAUAACAGAAAGAAGAACAUAUAUGAAUGAAAAUCAAGAACAAACUCCUGUGCCACCAAAAAGCAUAGUUUGGAAACAUUUUAUAAAAACUACUGAAGGAGCUGAAUGUAAAAUUUGUCUACAGAAUGUGAAGGCUGGAGGUAAUACAACUAACCUUCACUCUCAUUUAAAGCAUUCUCAUAGUGACUUAAAGAUAACGAUGCCUAAUGUUACAAAAUCAAAAUCUUACAAAAGAAAACAACCGAUUGCAUAAGCGUUGAAGAAAACAUUUCUAUACCUGUGUCACCAACACCCUCCUGCUCAUUUUCAAUAAUAUCUCAAAUGUCAACAUCAUCUACAACGUCAAUUCAGUUUCAACCUAAAAAGCUUAAGACCUCUAAUAAAGUAAAGCAACAAAGACUGGAUGUGUCUAUCGCAAGGCAAAAGUCUUUACAAGAUGGAGGCUCAAGAGCAGCAGAUAUUACGAAUAAAUUAUUAUUCAUGCUUGCGAAAGAUGCAUUACCUUACCGAACAGUGGAGAAAGAAGGAUUUCAAGUAUUUAUGAAAACGCUUGUUCCUCUAUAUAAAA
rnacentral:lncRNA from 1 species